ensembl:lncRNA
AGGGGAUAAAAAUAUUCUGAUAUUUUUCUAGGUUUUGUAGUAUUUUGUUAUUGGUCGGAUUUUUUUAAUUAAAAUAAAUUUUUUUGGAGUUCCCGUCAUGGAGCAGCAGAAACAAAUCUCACUAGGAACCAUGAGGUUGAGGGUUCGAUCCCUGGCCUCCAUCAGUGGGUUAAGGAUCCGCCUUGCCGUGAGCUGUGGUGUAGGUCACAGGCGUGACUCAGAUCUGGUGUGGCUGUGGCUGUGGCUGUGGUGUAGGCCGGCAGCUAUAGCUUCACUCAGACCCCUAGCCUGGGAACCUCCAUAUGCCACAGGUGCAGCCCUAAAAAAACUAACUAACUAAAUAAAUAAUUUUUUUGUUUUAUGAUUUUAAUUUUUUACACUGUAGUUGACUUAGUGUUCCUUACAGUUGAUUCCUACUGUACAGCAAAGUGACCCAGUCUCACACAUAUGUAUAUAUUCUUUCUCACACCAUCUCCCACCACGUUCCAUCACAAGUAAUGGAACACAGUUCCCCGUGCUACACAGCAGGAUCUCACCGUCCAUCCACUCCAAAUGCACCAGUCUGCAUGCACCAACCCCAAACUCCCAAUCCAUCCCACCCCCCCACCCAUCCCCCAUCAGAUUUUUAAACUUUAAAAUUUGUUGUAAUUUCUUUUCUCAUUCUAAACAACUGUUCCUUUUUGUAUGCUUAAUUCACUGUUUGUAUCUUGUGUUCUUUUUAUUGAAGGUGAUGCUAAAGAUUAUACUAGCUUUAGGCCCCACAAAGCAUGGAUCCGCCCCUGUCUACCAGCAGAGCAGAUGGGGGAAAGCUACUAUGGAUGGGAAAAAUCGAGGGACAGAGAACAAGAGUCUUAUUUCAGACCACAUUCAUCACAAAGAUUUCCUAGAUGCUUCCAAAGUGUCAGCAAAUCUGAGAACCAAUGAGUGAAAUGAUGACGAUGCAACUCAAACACCAAGGACCUAUGGGGGCCACCAGAAAGGUAGAACGUCUUCCAAGCCAGAAACAGGAAACCAGCAGUUUGGCUGGAGCUUUCUUGGUGGUAUUAACAAAUCUAAAGAUAGAAUGUAUCAACCAAAGGGGGCUGUUUGCAUGCAGAGAGAAAGUGGGAGUCAGAGGGGAAGGACUCGCCAAGGAGAGAGGGCACCGGUGAGCUGACUAGGACAUCCAGUUCUAUCGGUGUGGCAGGUGCACCUCCAAAAGAGGAGGAUGAAAGCAUGAGCUCAAGAAAACUUGACAUCCUUUGACAUGAAAACAUCCCUCUCAUAUCCUCUGCUCAGACUGCCUACUCAAGCUGCGUCCUCAUGACCAUUCGCCUUCCUGUUUAGUUUCCUAUGGGUUCGAGGUGACACAGGUGUUUGUUCUGCUUAGAAGUUCUUCUUUCUCAUUGCAAAUGAAUGAAUCGGGAUUUGGGUUUAUCUAGCCGUCUCUCGAGAGCCUGACUGGUGUGAAUCUGUCCCUGAGAACCUGAUCCAUUCUCGUGCAUGGCUGGGUCCGCAAAUCAAUUUCACCAAAGUGGUGCCAUCCCAAAAUUUCUAGGGCUUAGUGCAAUGCCACUGUCAUGGUAGAGCUCCACUAGGUUGGGAGGUUCUGGAGAUGCUGGGGUUGGGGUCAGUGUUUUAGUCUUCUGUGUGUCCCUGAUACCCAGUUCAGUGCUGGGACAUUGUAGACAAGGGCGAUAGUCUAAAUAUUUACACCUGUGUCAGUGGCACUGCCUGUUCCACACAGUGUGAGCCUUCGUGCUGGAACAGAGUCCUGGAGACCCCCAUGGGGCCAGGUGGGAAUCUUGUAGGGUACAUGGUCUUACAGAAUUCCGGGGUACUUGGUCUUAGGGAAUUCAAGAGGUACAGGGGGCUUGGUAUGUCUGGGGCAGACGGAGAUACUGGGAAGGCUCAGGGUAGUAACAUUUUACCAGUCAGGAUGGAAGUAU